UUUUUUUGUCUUUUUCAAAGAUUAUUUUCAAGUUUAACGUAUACGUAUACAUUUUCGUUCUUUUAGAUUUAUUGUCCCUGGUUUUUUUUAAGUCUUUUGUAUGGACCUUCUCCAGUCUUUUGUUUGCUUUGUUUAAGAGCCUAUUUGCUGCAACCACCCACCCCGGAAAGGUGACAGUAAUGCAAAAGAAUUGGUUAGGCAACACAGCUUUAUUCUUUCAACACACAAAAACAUCUUCCAGCACAAAAAGUGAAAAAUGCAUAUUUUAUUGUUUGUUGUUGGCCCGUGGGAGUAUGCGCCAUCAGUGGAACCAAUGGAAGCCAGGAAACUUCCUUUUGAUUUCAAGGUAGAUUAUCAGAGAAAGAAUUACAUAUUUUUUUUGUUUUGUUAUCAAACAAAAUUAUAAAUCAUCGUCCGAGGCGUCGCAAUGAAUGACGUCAUUUGUCUUCAGCGGCAUCGCAUCCCUGCAAGCAAAUGAAGGAUACCUUGAGGCCAAAGGUGAUAUGCCAUCGUCGGACCCCAUCGGGCCAUUUAUUUAUUUUUAAAGGUGAUGCACCUCAAAACAAAGUCAUCGGAAUACAAAACACGUUGAAAAAAUAA